GCUUGCUCGGUGAUCUCCUUU
rnacentral:snRNA from 1 species